rnacentral:sRNA from 1 species
AAUCGUAUUUUAAAACGGCAUUGUCGGUGAAAGGUUCUGCUAGUUCCUGCAAGUUCCAAGCACAAAGGUUCUUGAACAUAACUAGGCCCAUUAAGACAUCGGUCGCAUUCAGAGCUCAAAUAAACAAGUACCAAUGCUGAUUCGGCUACCUCGCUCGCGAUCACAAUACCAGCAUCUGAAAAAAAGGGGCAUAGUCCAAAGCGAAAGCUCAGACCUUGAGAUUCACUUUCAAAAAUACAGAAGUGCUACUGUUAGCCUCCAACAGAUCCAGCAAGAUUUACUGUCAGCGAGAAGCGUCGAUCUCAGAACCUGGCA